rnacentral:rRNA from 1 species
UACGGAGGGUGCAAGCGUUAUCCGGAUUUACUGGGUUUAAAGGGUGCGUAGGUGGGUAGGUAAGUCAGUGGUGAAAUCUUCGAGCUUAACUCGGAAACUGCCAUUGAUACUAUUUAUCUUGAAUACUUUGGAGGUAAGCGGAAUAUGUCAUGUAGCGGUGAAAUGCUUAGAUAUGACAUAGAACACCAAUUGCGAAGGCAGCUUACUACACAGUUAUUGACACUGAGGCACGAAAGCGUGGGGAUCAAAACAGG